rnacentral:snRNA from 1 species
CUGCUUGCUCUGGCAGCACAUAUACUAAAAUUGGAAUGAUACAGAGAAGAUUAGUAUGGCCCCAGUGUGGAUGACACACAAAUUCGUGAAGCAUUCUUUAAAAUU